GAUGAACGCUGGCGGCGUGCCUAAUACAUGCAAGUCGAGCGAACGGACGAGAAGCUUGCUUCUCUGAUGUUAGCGGCGGACGGGUGAGUAACACGUGGAUAACCUACCUAUAAGACUGGGAUAACUUCGGGAAACCGGAGCUAAUACCGGAUAAUAUUUUGAACCGCAUGGUUCAAAAGUGAAAGACGGUCUUGCUGUCACUUAUAGAUGGAUCCGCGCUGCAUUAGCUAGUUGGUAAGGUAACGGCUUACCAAGGCAACGAUGCAUAGCCGACCUGAGAGGGUGAUCGGCCACAUUGGAACUGAGACACGGUCCAGACUCCUACGGGAGGCAGCAGUAGGGAAUCUUCCGCAAUGGGCGAAAGCCUGACGGAGCAACGCCGCGUGAGUGAUGAAGGUCUUCGGAUCGUAAAACUCUGUUAUUAGGGAAGAACAUAUGUGUAAGUAACUGUGCACAUCUUGACGGUACCUAAUCAGAAAGCCACGGCUAACUACGUGCCAGCAGCCGCGGUAAUACGUAGGUGGCAAGCGUUAUCCGGAAUUAUUGGGCGUAAAGCGCGCGUAGGCGGUUUUUUAAGUCUGAUGUGAAAGCCCACGGCUCAACCGUGGAGGGUCAUUGGAAACCGGAAAACUUGAGUGCAGAAGAGGAAAGUGGAAUUCCAUGUGUAGCGGUGAAAUGCGCAGAGAUAUGGAGGAACACCAGUGGCGAAGGCGACUUUCUGGUCUGUAACUGACGCUGAUGUGCGAAAGCGUGGGGAUCAAACAGGAUUAGAUACCCUGGUAGUCCACGCCGUAAACGAUGAGUGCUAAGUGUUAGGGGGUUUCCGCCCCUUAGUGCUGCAGCUAACGCAUUAAGCACUCCGCCUGGGGAGUACGACCGCAAGGUUGAAACUCAAAGGAAUUGACGGGGACCCGCACAAGCGGUGGAGCAUGUGGUUUAAUUCGAAGCAACGCGAAGAACCUUACCAAAUCUUGACAUCCUUUGACAACUCUAGAGAUAGAGCCUUCCCCUUCGGGGGACAAAGUGACAGGUGGUGCAUGGUUGUCGUCAGCUCGUGUCGUGAGAUGUUGGGUUAAGUCCCGCAACGAGCGCAACCCUUAAGCUUAGUUGCCAUCAUUAAGUUGGGCACUCUAAGUUGACUGCCGGUGACAAACCGGAGGAAGGUGGGGAUGACGUCAAAUCAUCAUGCCCCUUAUGAUUUGGGCUACACACGUGCUACAAUGGACAAUACAAAGGGCAGCGAAACCGCGAGGUCAAGCAAAUCCCAUAAAGUUGUUCUCAGUUCGGAUUGUAGUCUGCAACUCGACUACAUGAAGCUGGAAUCGCUAGUAAUCGUAGAUCAGCAUGCUACGGUGAAUACGUUCCCGGGUCU
rnacentral:rRNA from 1 species